ACAGACCACAACAUUGAAAUGAAGCAAGCAAAGGCCCAAUAAAUAGCAUUACACAACUUGCCGCUAAAACUUUGCGUUUCGACGCCAUUUAUCUCAUAGAGACCGCUUAGUAACCACGCAUAGGUAGGGUUACCCUAUCUGGCAACAUAGCCCUAGCAGUAGGGUCACCCUACCUCAUGUAAACGCUCGCUAUUUUCUGACCCGCUUGCUAGGGUAACCCUCCUGAUAGGGUCACCCUACCUCCAUGUAAACAGGCCCUUAGUCAUUAU